rnacentral:rRNA from 1 species
CACGUAGGGGGCAAGCGUUGUCCGGAUUUAUUGGGCGUAAAGAGCUCGUAGGCGGCCAACUAAGUCAGACGUGAAAUCCCCAGGCUCAACCUGGGAACUGCGUCUGAUACUGGAUGGCUUGAGUUUGGGAGAGGGAUGCGGAAUCCCAGGUGUAGCGGUGAAAUGCGUAGAUAUCGGGAGGAACACCAGUGGCGAAGGCGACUACCUGGCCUGUUUCUUGACGCUGAGGCGCGAAAGCUAGGGGAGCAAACGGG